rnacentral:rRNA from 1 species
UACGUAGGUGGCAAGCGUUAUCCGGAUUUAUUGGGUUUAAAGGGAGCGUAGGCGGUUUUGUAAGUCAGUGGUGAAAGACGGUCGCUCAACGAUCACAUUCCAUUGAUACUGCAAGGCUAGAGUACAGUAGAGGUGGGCGGAAUUUAUGGUGUAGCGGUGAAAAUGCAUAGAUACCAUAAAGAACACCGAUUGCGUAGGCAGCUCACUGGACUGUAACUGACGCUGAGGCUCGAAAGUGUGGGUAUCAAAAC